CUGUGGGGGUAGGGAUGAGGUGACUAAUCCUAACUGGUCAGGCAGGAGGCGUCACUUAACUUGAGUCUUAAUAGUGGAGAUUUCCGGGCAGAAGAAAGGUCGUAUUGCCAGGAGAGAAGAAUAUUCCAGGUCUUAGAGUGUCAUGAGCGAGGGAAGAGAAGAGGAGGGGUAUCGCAGAGAGCGCAAGGAUGCUCCAGAUCUGCCUGCUCAGGAUUGGGACAUACAGGGUUCUGUCUGUAAUUUUAACUGAAGGUCAGUAUAAUAAUCAGCCACUUAACAUCUGCUGCUGCAUUUGUCCCGUUUAUUAUUCAGCACAAAUUCUCUAAAGCUCCGAGUAAAGACUUCUUUUUCAUAUUUUAUGCCAACAGAAAUUUUGGUCCCCUGAGAACUGGUAUUUCUGUUCCGAUAAAACCACCAAUUAUGUUUUCCUUUUUUUUUUUUUUUUUUCUUUUUGCCUCAUUGCCAAAAAGCUCAGAGGAACACCCUUGUCUCUUAUGAUUAGCAUAUUUGCAUUUUCUCUUCGUUAGUUUCUGAUCUUUCUAUAUUUAUUUUAUGAAGUCAUUGCUGAUGUCUUUUGUUGGGAGCUGCCUUGGGUCCUUUUGGAAAAGAGGCUUGACUACACAAGCACAUCAAUAAAUGAGUAAGACAAGCAAAUUCUCUCCCCACCCAGACAUUGCAUUGCUGACAUCUGAGCGUUCCCAAUGAUGGCCCUUUAGAACCCAGGCAGCGGUACCCAGCUGAGGGCUGACUUUCAGAGAUGCAGCCACUGUUGAGGGCUCCGUGGGAGGAGCUGGAAGGAAAGGAGGCAGUAAUGCUCUAUGGGUGCUGCCAUGGUUUGGCUGUUUGCAGCCAUGGGUUUAGGAACUUCCUGGUCCACACAGCCUUUCAAGAAUGUGUGGCCUGGGGAAUGGUGGGAAAUGGGCCCCUGAGGGAGAUGGCUCAGCAAGGCUGAUGGACUAUAGGAUGAUUGCCCUCUCUCCACUAGGUGUGAGGUUAUAUUUGAGCUUUUUUCCCCUUUUUUCUGUGCACAUGCUAAGUAAGAGACAGGAAAGGAAAAAGGCUGUUUGCACAGAGAAGCAGCACAGCAAGGCAUUUUUCUCUACCAUGAUCUAAGUGCGCUGGAACUACAAUAGCAAUGCCCCGUGUACGCCUUUAUGGGCAAUUAGACAGGCUAUAAAUGUGCGUCCUUCACCAAGGGGGACUGUCUCUCAUUAAAAUUUGACUUUAGUAAAGCAACUUUUUUCACAAAAUACAAAAUAGUGUAAUACAUUGUCUUUAUUGUCUGACAUUACAGAUUAGUUUUACACUUUCCUUUUUUACAGACCGUGGGAAGGAAGGGUAAAACUGUGUCCAGCAUUUUGCAAACGUUCGUUGUUACACACAAACACACACAAUGAAUAACAGGAAAGAGAAUACAGAAGAAUAAAAGGUACGUUGAAAUUGGACAGGCUGUGGUUCUAAUCGAUCCAUGGAAAUGAUGUGAAACUUCCUGGUGAUACCAGCAAAUGGGAUAUAGCGUCAUACACGGUUUGGUACGUGCACCUGAAAUUAAAGUUGCUGUUCUUUUGCUUCUGUUUUGUUAUUGUUAUGUUUCGAGUAGGCUACUCCCUCUCAUGGCUCUGAACCGGACCACAGGGUCAGACACAGGGUUCCAGUUGAGCGACUACAGUUAGAGAAUCACAGUGUUCCUGCUUCCAGAGAAGAUGUAUGCAAGGGCCUUGUGAACUCCCAGAGCGGAGAGGUUCUUGGUGAUAAGAGAAGGGCUGAAAGUUACCCAUUCUUUUGAGAUUAUUACGAACCAGUGGUAGGGAUUCCGUUCUCAAGAACUAAACAAUGGGAAAUGAGCAGAUACUGAGGACAGUGUUUCUCCUGGACUGAACCCAUUUUGGUGACCAGGGGGGAACAGGGCUUAGUAAUUAUGCAAUGAAAAGAGAUGUAACUGGCUUGUACAAAGAGGUCACACGCCUUUCCAGUAAAAUGGAAACUGAACUAAAUGAGAGGAUGCAGAGAGGUUAGCUUGAGUGCUGUAUGUAGCUUUAGUGGCCAGAGUGGGUGUCUCUGUUCAGAGAAGGGUCUGAUCAAUAACCCAGAAAAGCAUGAGACUGGUUGGAAACUUAGACCCCUGGAGCUGUAAAAAGUCUCCAACACAUUAUGAUUUUUUCCCCCUCUUCUAAAAGGUGUAAUGGCUCUUCUUUUGAUGCCCACAGUAGUAACAGUUAUUAAAAAAAAAAAAAAAA